GGAGACUUUGCCAGCAUACAAUUAGAAACAACAGGGUUUUUUUGAGCAACGAAGAUAACUUUGUUGUGAAUGUUCCCGGGGCUUGUGUGUGUGUGUCGUAGCAUGUUCAGGCUGCACCCACAACGAUGCACAGAGAGCCAGCAGGCACAGCAAUCAGACUCUGGGUUCUUCGUUUAACUGAUUCUCCCUGUAGCCACCAGAAAGCUACCAGAAGAAUGAGCUUCUUCCAUCACAGUAUGCAGAGCAUCAGAGUCUUGCACAACACCAUUGGAACAAUUGGAGGACUUGGAGGACACCAAGAAAAACAGUCUGAGAGACGUGGGCGUGCUCGAAACAUCUCAAGUGCCGGGCUUCAUUGACUGGAUUUAUCACGUGCGCUGGAUUUAUUUACACCUGAACAAACAAAGCAGGCC
rnacentral:lncRNA from 1 species